rnacentral:rRNA from 1 species
GACGAACGCUGGCGGAGGGAUGAAUACAUGCAAGUAGAACGCUGGAGGAGGAGCUUGCUUCUCUGGAUGAGUUGCGAACGGGUGAGUAACGCGUAGGUAACCUGCCUGGUAGCGGGGGAUAACUAUUGGAAACGAUAGCUAAUACCGCAUAAUAUUGACUAUUGCAUGAUAGUCAGUUGAAAUGUGCAACUGCACCACUACCAGAUGGACCUGCGUUGUAUUAGCUAGUUGGUGGGGUAACGGCUCACCAAGGCGACGAUACAUAGCCGACCUGAGAGGGUGAUCGGCCACACUGGGACUGAGACACGGCCCAGACUCCUACGGGAGGCAGCAGUAGGGAAUCUUCGGCAAUGGACGGAAGUCUGAACGAGCAACGCCGCGUGAGUGAAGAAGGUGUUCGGAUCGUAAAGCUCUGUUGUAAGAGAAGAACGAGUGUGAGAGUGGAAAGCUCACACUGUGACGGUAUCUUACCAGAAAGGGACGGCUAGCUACGUG